GGCUCAAUGGUCUAGUGGUAUGAUUCGCGCUUCGGGAUAAACCCUCAUGGUCACACAUGAAAUGUGCGAGGUCCCGGGUUCAAAUCCCGGUUGAGCCC